CCAAAUGAUUAGCCAAGCAACCUUCGCCCCUCAGCCCUCGUUUUUAGUCGGCUUUGCGAGUGUACAAUUAUGCCUGAAACUCUUCAUAAUUCAAUUCGUGACGAUUGUACAUCCGUUAAGAAAGUCAGCCAAAACUUAAAAACAACAUCAAUGGAGAAGUCAACAUACAAGUGUAGACCCAGCGAAAUGACGUUGCCACGUUCAGCACCACAUAUAUUGCGAUGAGUGAGAUGCAAGACUUCGCUUCCACAGUCACACACAGUAUCUGCACGUGUACGAGUUUGCGUCUCGUGGUACGGGACCAAAACAGCUGAGAAGUUUAGCCUCACGCUUCAACACUCUUAGCUGCUGCGGAAAUUGAUCCCCUAUGCUGUUUACUUUGUGCACCCAAGUCAUAUCGUGGAGUCUACCUCUAACUGGGAUUUGUUUUAGAAUCAUGGUGCAAUGAGUAUCACAGUCUGGUAAAACUCAUAGUCCGUACUAAGACAACAUGGAUAUAUCGAUAAAGGAUUUUCAAAUGAGUUCUUUCAACAUUAGUGCUCUCCCCUGGGGUCCAUUCGAUUUAAAUUACAAUGUGAACUGUACAUGAGUGCAAUUCAAUUAUUUGUAUACCACAACCCUGACAACCACAUAUACACAAGACACUCAUUCACUCAAGACAGCUCUGCGAAUGUGAAGGAUGCGGAUGUCAGGACUGUUAUACUCUGGGUCCUGCUUGUUCAAAGGGAUCUCCUCAGACUGGAAGUCUUGUAGAAGCAACUGAUUGGACAACAGAACAGAGGAACAGCACGUCAUUGAAGAGGAAGAUGGUCAUAAGAUCUCCACAGAAGAAAUGAAAAGUUCACAUAUAACAGCUAACUACAUUUCCUUACACAACAGUAUAUAUGAUAACAAGAACUGACAGAUUUCUCACCUCAAAAAAUUGUUUCUCCACUUUGGGGUUGACACCCACUGUGCGUUGCUCAUAGCAGCAUAUGAUGGUGGUCUCUGGUCCAACCAGGUGCUUCAGGGUUUCCACCAGUGGCUUCACGGACUAAGUACAACAGACAGUAAAAAAGUUAUUUUUCACCCAUGUAUUGAACUCCAAGUAACUCAUCCCACUAUCAAUAGUGUUGUAUUACUAAAUGUGUUGAGUAGCUGUAUAGGUGUUCAAGCAAUAAAAAGCAAGUCCAACAAAAAAUGAGCCUAGGUUAGUACCCCCCAAAAUUAAAAUUGCACAAAUUCAGUAUCACAACAGUACAACACCUGUUCAUAAUAGAUGCAGUCCGCCAUCAGGAUAAAAUGUGGGUGUGGUAGAAACUCUGACACAUUUUCACCCCUUUAAAAAAGGUAAGAGAAUUCCACAUGAGACAUGAACAAGGCUAGAUUACAUGGCCCAUCUAUAGAAAAGCCAUGGUUUGCUUACACAUUAUAGCCUACUGUGAUAACUAUGGUUGUAGUUUGCCUUCUCUUAGGAAAUAGAAUCUAUAUUAACUAACAAGUACUGGGAUAAGUACAGUACAGACCAUUUUAGUACCUUGGCUUCGAUGGAUCCACUGCUGACAAGUUCCUGGUUGUCUUGGAUAUUGACUUGGAGUAGAGACUGCAGGUCCUCGAGGUCUGUCACAGUAACCUGAGCCCUACGGGACAGAAAGAGAGAGGGAUUAAGACAAUAUGUUCAUUAUUAUUAAAAUAAUUUCAUCAAUCA